GGAGAGAUGCCUGAGUGGCCGAAAGGGGCACACUGCUAACGUGUUGACUCGUAAGGGUCCGAGGGUUCGAAUCCCUCUCUCUCCUCCA
rnacentral:tRNA from 1 species